rnacentral:rRNA from 1 species
UGCAGUCGAACGCUUUUUCUUUCACCGGAGCUUGCUCCACCGAAAGAAAAAGAGUGGCGAACGGGUGAGUAACACGUGGGUAACCUGCCCAUCAGAAGGGGAUAACACUUGGAAACAGGUGCUAAUACCGUAUAACACUAUUUUCCGCAUGGAAGAAAGUUGAAAGGCGCUUUUGCGUCACUGAUGGAUGGACCCGCGGUGCAUUAGCUAGUUGGUGAGGUAACGGCUCACCAAGGCCACGAUGCAUAGCCGACCUGAGAGGGUGAUCGGCCACACUGGGACUGAGACACGGCCCAGACUCCUACGGGAGGCAGCAGUAGGGAAUCUUCGGCAAUGGACGAAAGUCUGACCGAGCAACGCCGCGUGAGUGAAGAAGGUUUUCGGAUCGUAAAACUCUGUUGUUAGAGAAGAACAAGGAUGAGAGUAGAACGUUCAUCCCUUGACGGUAUCUAACCAGAAAGCCACGGCUAACUACGUGCCAGCAGCCGCGGUAAUACGUAGGUGGCAAGCGUUGUCCGGAUUUAUUGGGCGUAAAGCGAGCGCAGGCGGUUUCUUAAGUCUGAUGUGAAAGCCCCCGGCUCAACCGGGGAGGGUCAUUGGAAACUGGGAGACUUGAGUGCAGAAGAGGAGAGUGGAAUUCCAUGUGUAGCGGUGAAAUGCGUAGAUAUAUGAGGAACACCAGUGGCGAAGGCGGCUCUCUGGUCUGUAACUGACGCUGAGGCUCGAAAGCGUGGGGAGCGAACAGGAUUAGAUACCCUGGUAGUCCACGCCGUAAACGAUGAGUGCUAAGUGUUGGAGGGUUUCCGCCCUUCAGUGCUGCAGCAAACGCAUUAAGCACUCCGCCUGGGG